GAUGAACGCUGGCGGCGUGCUUAACACAUGCAAGUCGAACGGUGAAGCAGGAGCUUGCUCUUGUGGAUCAGUGGCGAACGGGUGAGUAACACGUGAGCAACCUGCCCCUGACUCUGGGAUAAGCGCUGGAAACGGCGUCUAAUACUGGAUAUGUGAUGUGACCGCAUGGUCUGCAUCUGGAAAGAAUUUCGGUUGGGGAUGGGCUCGCGGCCUAUCAGCUUGUUGGUGAGGUAAUUGCUCACCAAGGCGUCGACGGGUAGCCGGCCUGCGAGGGUGCACGGCCACACUGGGACUGAGACACGGCCCAGACUCCUACGGGAGGAAGCAGUGGGGAAUAUUGCACAAUGGGCGGAAGCCUGAUGCAGCAACGCCGCGUGAGGGAUGACGGCCUUCGGGUUGUAAACCUCUUUUAGCAGGGAAGAAGCGAAAGUGACGGUACCUGCAGAAAAAGCACCGGCUAACUACGUGCCAGCCGCCGCCGCAG
rnacentral:rRNA from 1 species